rnacentral:rRNA from 1 species
GAUGAACGCUGGCGGCGUGCCUAAUACAUGCAAGUCGAGCGAACAGACGAGGAGCUUGCUCCUCUGACGUUAGCGGCGGACGGGUGAGUAACACGUGGAUAACCUACCUAUAAGACUGGGAUAACUUCGGGAAACCGGAGCUAAUACCGGAUAAUAUAUUGAACCGCAUGGUUCAAUAGUGAAAGACGGUUUUGCUGUCACUUAUAGAUGGAUCCGCGCCGCAUUAGCUAGUUGGUAAGGUAACGGCUUACCAAGGCAACGAUGCGUAGCCGAACUGAGAGGGUGAUCGGCCACACGGGAACUGAGACACGGUCCAGACUCCUACGGGAGGCAGCAGUAGGCAAUCUUCCGCAAUGGGCGAAAGCCUGACGGAGCAACGCCGCGUGAGUGAUGAAGGUCUUCGGAUCGUAAAACUCUGUUAUUAGGGAAGAACAAAUGUGUAAGUAACUAUGCACGUCUUGACGGUACCUAAUCAGAAAGCCACGGCUAACUACGUG